AAAAUACCAUAUAAUAUGCAUAAUAAAAGAAUUUUGUUGUCUAAAUCUGUUUGUAUUAUAACAGUAUUUUACAUCAAAAUACAUUAUUAUUGCUAUUUUAAACAUUCUGAUAUUCUUACAAUACACACACACACACACACACACACACACGUAUAUUAAUUGUAAGUGUGUUUUUAAAAUUAUUUGGUUAAGCAGCAUAUAAUUCUCUGAAUGUAUGAUUGUAUAAAAAAAAUCUUUAAAUCACACUAAUGGAUGACACAAAAUAUUAAUAAUAAUAUAUAACAAUUAUGUUAGCAAAGAACAUGUUACAUUUCCAGGUCUGUAUUGUCUGGAAUAUGUUUUGUUCCAGCACACCUGCGUAUGAUUUUCCAGACUUUGAUUAGCUGCUUCAGGUGUGUUUGAUUAGAGUUGGACGUAAACUCUGCAGGAAGGUAGAUCUCAGUAGCAACCCUGGUUUAAACAAUUAAAGGCCUUAAUGGAAAAGGCCUGUGGAAUGUUUGGAUAAUGAACUCUUGGAAAGGGUGUAAUUGGUGUCAGGUGUUCCAGUCAGUUCAGGUGUAACACCCCACCAUAAACAUAACUGCACAAUAUUAAUUCCCUGCUGUUCAAAAGGAAUAUGAAAAGACCUAUGAAAAAUAUUUCAAAAGGGUUGAGAAGACAUGUUGGCCUUCAUCAGUCUGCUGUGGUUUAUCUCAUCAGGAGGACAAUGAGCGGAUAUUGUACCGAGAAGUUAUUGAGAUUCAUAAAUCCAUUGAAGAACUGGAGCUUGGAGCUUGAAAGAUGCUUGGAAGAAGCUUACCUGCAAACCUUCUUGGACAAAGGGUGCUCAUACGAAAUAUUGAUUUAA
ensembl:lncRNA